rnacentral:rRNA from 1 species
UGCGUAGGGUGCGAGCGUUAAUCGGAAUUACUGGGCGUAAAGCGUGCGCAGGCGGUUUUGUAAGCCAGAUGUGAAAUCCCCGGGCUUAACCUGGGAAUGGCAUUUGGGACUGCAAGGCUGGAGUGUGGCAGAGGAGACUGGAAUUCCUGGUGUAGCAGUGAAAUGCGUAGAUAUCAGGAGGAAUACCGAUGGCGAAGGCAGGUCUCUGGGCUAACACUGACGCUCAUGCACGAAAGCGUGGGGAGCAAACAGG